AAAGGAAUCCCAUGACAUUUCAUGGAACUAGCAGAGUUGUACACGUCUGCUCUUCCCCCACCCAAUGGCAAUAUGAAACCUUUUGUGCUUCUCCCCAGCUCCUUCCCUGGGUCCACCUCUCUCCCAGUCCCUCCUUGCCCACUACCUUGACCCACUCUGUGUGUUUGAGCUCUGCAUUCAGGCAGCUGUAACAUUCCAGUGUUCCAGCUGUCCCUGAGUCUCACACCCCAGACGAGCUAGCCAGGUUCACUCUCUCACUCCCAGUCCUGCCCGGGUCCCAUCUGCAGCCCCGUUUCUGCAUGAGAAUUUGGUGUUUGGAAUGUUUUCUGAUUCUUGGGGCGGGGUUUCUCGCCUAAUCAUCCUCAACGUGGAGUAAUGAGGAGGGAGAGGAGAAUCUUCAUCAGAAACUGGUUUUGUGUAGUAAACCUUCUCUUCUGUUUUUGUUUUUUUGUUUUGUUUUUUUGUUUUUUGUUUUGGUCUGUCUGUGCAAGACCUGCAGCUGCUGAAAUCAGCUUUGCCUUUAAUUAAACCAUGUUCUCUCCAACCAAAAAAAAAAAAAAAAAAA